AGGGAGUGCUUUCCCUGGGGGGACCCAUCUACCUCCCAUCUGGAGCUGUCUCUAUUUUUUACCAGGAACUCACUAAGAAAACUCAUUACUUCCUCUCAAUUCAGUGAGUCAGGCCAAAGUCGACAUUUAGUGGGUGGAGACAAUGGGUGCCUCACUUAGAGUGAAGUCUCGCGUCUCAUUCCUGAUCUGAAAUGACCCACAUGGAUUCACACUGUCUCAGAACCUUUAUUUCUUUGAGAUAUAUAUAUAUAUAUUUUCUGGAAGCUUGGAAAGUCCUGGGGGUGUUCUAUGAAUAGGCAAUCAAUAUGGACUUCAUUGAAAUAUCGUGUGUCAAUUGGAUUUCAUCCCUUAAUCACACUGGCAGAGAAAAGAGGGUAGUGGCUGCUUUGGAGAAUGGAGGAAGCCAGAAAGAAGAUAAAGAGUGAAGAUACAAGAAGACAACGGGAUAAGAUUCAGGGAAGAGAGAAGGUCAUAGAGCUGAGAAGGAAUUGACUUUUCUUCAUGUUAAGGGUGGCAGAGGGGAAGACUUCAGCUGAUCACUAUUCAGGUACAUCUGGAUCCAGGAAUAAGAAACCGUAUGGUGUCCAACUCCUUCAAAAUGGUACUCCUGUCCACUCUCAGCUGGUAUUCUGCAUGCACUUCUGUGUCUGAAGGUGUAUUCCUGAUGUGUCCGUGGAGAGAGAUGUAUUCCACGUCCACCUACUCCUCUGCCAUCUUGGAGAAGAUUCUUGAGAGUCUCUUGGACAGAAAGAGAUCAAACCAGUCAAUCCUAAAGGAAACCAACCCUGAAUAUUCAUUGGAAGGAUUGAUGCUGAAGCUGAAGCUCCAAUACUUUGCCACCUAAUGCAGAGAGCCAACUCAUUGGAAAAGACUCUGAUGCUAGGAAAGACUGAAGGCAAGAGAAGGGGUGUAUGUGUGGGUGUGAACGUGUAACUGAUGAUUUUUUGUAAGCCUCUUAAGGAUUAGAACUUUGCCUAAUUUACAGGGUCUGAGACUGAUUUCCAACCGGGACAGAGGUGGGAAGGGCCAACAAAAAUCAUCUAUGAGUUUCCUCACAAGUACAACCUUUCCCACCUCAACCUCCCUCUCCUGGAAGAUUCUGAGACAAUCAUCAAAAUGAGCCAUGAUUACUGAUGAGAACCUAUGUUAUUCCUGAGAUGUUUUUGCAUAAGAAAAAUGAUGAAAAACCAG
ensembl:lncRNA